GUCUCAGUUCGGAUUGGAGUCUGCAACUCGACUGCAUGAAGUCGGAAUCGCUAGUAAUCGCGGAUCAGCAUGCCGCGGUGAAUACGUUCCCGGGCCUUGUACACACCGCCCGUCACACCAUGAGAGUCGGGAACACCCGAAGUCCGUAGCCUAACCGCAAGGGGGGCGCGGCCGAAGGUGGGUUCGAUAAUUGGGGUGAAGUCGUAACAAGGUACC
rnacentral:rRNA from 1 species